rnacentral:rRNA from 1 species
AUGCAUAAAGGUAAUUUCGAAAUAGUCCAAGAGCGUUUGAGGAAGAGACUUAUAGAUUGGAGUGAGCAAUAUUCUUCCUUAGGUGUGAAGGAGAUUCUAAUCAAAUUAGUGACUCAGGCCAUCCCAGCUUAUGUUAUGAGUGUGUUUAAACUCCCUGCCUCAGUAUGUGAUGAGUUGACACGUAUGAUACGCCAAUAUUGGUGGGGAGUGGAGAAUGGGAAGAAGAAAAUGGCUUGGAUGAGCUGGGACAAAUUGAGACUCCCCAAAUCCAUGGGGGGCAUGGGUUUUCGAGACAUGAGGGCAUUUAACUAG